rnacentral:rRNA from 1 species
UACGUAGGGUGCAAGCGUUGUCCGGAAUUAUUGGGCGUAAAGAGCUCGUAGGCGGCCUGUUGCGUCCGCUGUGAAAUCCCGGGGCUCAACCCCGGGCCUGCAGUGGAUACGGGCUGGCUGGAGGCAGGCAGGGGAGAACGGAAUUCCUGGUGUAGCGGUGAAAUGCGCAGAUAUCAGGAGGAACACCGGUGGCGAAGGCGGGUCUCUGGGCCGAUACUGACGCUGAGGAGCGAAAGCGUGGGGAGCAAACAGG